GAGGUUGUGGCUCAGUGGUAGAGCGCUCGCCUAGCUCCUGCGAGACACUGGGUUUGAUCCUCAGCACCACA
rnacentral:tRNA from 1 species